rnacentral:rRNA from 1 species
UACGGAGGGAGCUAGCGUUGUUCGGAAAUACUGGGCGUAAAGCGCGCGUAGGCGGCUAUUUAAGUCAGGGGUGAAAUCCCGGGGCUCAACCUCGGAACUGCCUUUGAAACUGGAAAGCUAGAAUCUUGGAGAGGUCAGUGGAAUUCCGAGUGUAGAGGUGAAAUUCGUAGAUAUUCGGAAGAACACCAGUGGCGAAGGCGACUGACUGGACAAGUAUUGACGCUGAGGUGCGAAAGCGUGGGGAGCA